GACGAACCGUGCGAACGUUGUUCGGAAUCACUGGGCUUAAAGGGCGCGUAGGCGGGUUUGCAAGUCUGCGGUGAAAGCCUCCAGCUUAACUGGAGAAGUGCCGUGGAUACUGCGGAUCUCGAGGAGGGUAGGGGCAUCUGGAACGGUCGGUGGAGCGGUGAAAUGCGUUGAUAUCGACCGGAACUCCGGUGGCGAAGGCGAGGUGCUGGACCCUUUCUGACGCUGAGGCGCGACAGCGUGGGGAGCAAACAGG
rnacentral:rRNA from 1 species